GCCCCCUGCUCUGCACUCUCAGGUGUUCCACUUGUCACCCUCUGCACUUGCCGCAUAAAGAUGGAGCCGUGUCCAAAGGGGCACUGCCGUGGCCCUGGGCACCACCAUGGCCCAGGAUGCCCCCCCCAUGGCCCAGGAGGCCCCCAUCCAGGGCCCGGUGGGCACCCCCCUGGCCAUGGCCAUGGCCCAGGACACCACCAUGACCCAGGGCACCACCAUGGCCCAGGAUGCCACCCCCCAGGGCCCGGUGGGCACCCCCCUGGCCAUGGCCCAGGGCACCCCCCACACCCACAUGGUCCACAUCAUUGAAGAAGGAGAAGCAGCAGGGCACAAGAAUGGCGAGCCCGAGUGGGUUGCCCUGCUAAGCUGGCAUGGGGCUUGAACCAGAAUCCUCUAA